GUGGCGAAACUUCCGGCGGCUGGACCGCCCACUCCCAGACAUCGCCGCCCGGGCUUCGGUUUCUUUUCAAACAUUUAAAAGGGCUGGGUGUUCCUCCAGAAAUGAGUUUGGUGAUUAAAAAUCUGCAGCGAGUGGUCCCCGUCAAGAGAGUGCCACUUCGCAGGAACAUGGAGCUGAUAAGGAGCAUUUUAGGAGUGCAGAAAUUUGAUCUGGGGAUCAUCUGUGUUGACAACAAGAAUAUUCAGCACAUUAAUAGGAUCUACAGAAAGAAAAACGUCCCAACCGAUGUGCUUUCUUUCCCAUUUCAUGAGAACCUGAAAGCAGGUGAAUUUCCCCAGCCAGAUUUUCCAGAUGAUUAUAAUUUGGGAGACAUUUUCCUAGGAGUGGAGUAUAUCUUCCAGCGGUGCAAAGAAAAUGAAGAUUACUACAACAUCCUGACUGUGACAGCCGCCCACGGACUCUGUCACCUGCUGGGCUUCACACACAGCUCGGAGGCCGAGUGGCAGAAGAUGUACAGUCAAGAGAAGCUGGUGCUGGAGAAGCUGAGUCGCUGCACUGGGGCCAGGCUUGAGCCCCUGAGCAAAGGCCUCUACUGAUGCUGCAGUGCUCCAAGAUACACAGAAGGGUUUAUGGACUGAGAAUUGAGGCCCCACUCCCUUCAGUGUGGAUCUCUGUUGGUUGUGUUGUCCUGGAAGACAUUAGCCCAUGCUGAAGUUUAAUUUUGAGGAUAGGCUCCUGCAGACAAGAAGGCUGGAAAAGGCUGGAUUCCCAGCCCAACCCUUAAGAGCUCUGUGACCUGAAUCUUGGGAACUCCACUCCUAAGAGCUACCUUGCACCCUCAUCUUCACUGAGGUGUUACAGAUACUGCAAGAAAGCCAAUGGACAUGGAAAUCUGACAUCUAAGAGCUAAAGAAUGGGAACCUCUCCACAUACCCAAAUCCUUUAAAAAAAAAUUAUUUUUAAUUACAUUUUUAAAUUUUAUUUUGUGUAUGUGUAUAUAGGUGGGUACACUUGUGCCAAAGCAUAUGUGUGGAGGUCAGAGAACAACUUGUGGGAGUUGGUUCUCUCCUUCUACCAUGAGGGUCUCAGGGAUUAAACUUGGGUCAUCAGUCUUGGCAGCAAGUGCUUUUACUCUCUGAGCCAUGUCACUGCCACUGGGGCUCCCCCUAUUGGCUGAUAGAGACCAGGAUGAGUCUGCUCAAGUCUUGGAACACAGGGAAUUCUGGGAAGCCUGGGUUUGACUUUACUGGGCAUGCCCAAUGCCUAUUGUCUUCCCAACACAACAUGCCAGGAACCUGGGGGUGUCUUGGCGCCUCUGCUGGCUGUAUCCCUCAUGUGCACUAUACCAGCCCGUUCCCUCCUUCACAGCCAUCUAACCAGCUCAUCAUCUUUGUCCCCUCUAUUGGGAUAAUCCUGUCCCUUAUUUUUCUAGUUUCCUUUUUUGUUUGAUUUGGUUUGGUUUGGUUUGGUUUUUGCAGUGCUAGGGAUGGAACCCAGGGUCUUGUACAAGCUUGACAAGUGUUUAGUGUUUUUAUAUAUUCUUGGAAACCACCUCAUGUCUUAAAAGACAACAUGAGCAAGCGUUCUGUUGAUGUUGACCUCAAUCUGUGGUUGGGUCAGCAGCUGCGUCCACUCCAGCCACUCUGACCUGGUUUCAAGCCUUUUCCAGGAUGCCCAGGAAUCCUUGGCACUUGCUAGUCUGUGUCUAUUCUAGAUUUAACACUCCAGUGCCAUGAAGGACCUCAGAUCCUGAUGAGAAUUAGAUGAAAUCUACAGAUUGGCCAAUGAUGUAAGGCUCCCACCCAUUCACGGACCUAGUUGCUGACUUCUCUGGUUCAUCUGUACAAUCUCUUAGGAGUACUAUACAUCUCAUUAGAGUACAAGUAUGCACAAUGUGCCCUGAGUUGCCCUCACCACUGUCAAUGGGUAUGGCCAGCAGUUUCUUGCCCUAACCCCCAGGCUCCAGUCACCAGGCCACCCUAAACCCACUACAGGGCCUGCUUAGACUCUCUAGCCUUCCCAAGUGGGCCUCAAACAUGUGCCUUAAGGAAGACUGGGUGUAGGAAACCAGGAUGGCAUGCCCUAGGGCGAGAUGAGCCUAAAACUUUUAAAGUCCAGGCUACAUUCUCUGCUGAAGGGAAGGGCACUGAAAACAGCAGCUCUCAACUCACUGUCUUGCAGGACACUGCAGGGCUAGCAAGAGGAAAGUGGCCAGGUCAAAAGUUUAAGCUCCUUGCUCUGAGGGAAAACAUCUUGGUCAACAGCCCUUAGCCCACCUCCUUGUCCUGAACAAAUAACUCAGCUAUCAUUAGCAAGAAGAUUAGGCCAAGUUAAAGGUUUACUCGUGGACUAAAAGCUAAAAGUUUACAGUCCGGAGAGAUGGCUCAGCGGUUAAGAAUACUGUUCUUGCAGAAGACCCAGGUUCGAAUCCCAGCACCCACAUGGCAGCUAACAACUGUCCGUAACUCCAG